UUUAUUUAUUUUUGGCCUACAGUAAUGAUCACUGCUAUCAUAGUGUCAAUAAAAUAGAUUUUAAAAUCGUCACACAAGUACCCGCAAUGACGGGCUUCACGUGGCCGAGCCUCUCCUUUGAACAGUCCCAGUAUUCAAAUGUGACAGCAGCUGCCGCCAGGGAGCACACGCAAGGAGCAAAGGCUGCGCUGAUCACAGCUCUGUGCAAGGGUGCUGCUUCCGCAGUGCAAGGGCGCUACAAAUCCAUCUGCCAGAGUCGGGUGCGGUACCCAUGAAGGGCACAAGCAAGUCAGCAAAGGGACUAUUCACUGUCACUUCCUACUGAAGAACAGACAGGAAGUACUUGUUCAAUAAACAAACCACGAGUGAAGAAUACUCAUGUGGUCAGGUUUUUUUCCUCAUUGACAGAAUAAAGACCACACAAGUGCUCUGCCCUCAGAGCUCACCCUUCGGGACAGAUGGUUCCGACUGUCUAGCUCCGUUUCCUCGGGGCUGAGUAAACCAUCAGCCCUUUGUUUAACUGAAGAAGAAGCGUGUGCUUUGGGACAGCCAGGACAAGGACAGCGGCACUGGAAAGGAGAAAGAGACAGAGACAAACGCCAACCGGCCGACCUCAGCCCCUUCCCCGCUCUGCCAGCUGUGAGCCAGAGAAAGCUCCGUGGGAGGGAAGACCGCCCGUGUCGGCCCGGGGUCACAGCGCGUGUGUGACACCCCAGGCCCCGCUGGCACCUGGCAGAUCAAAGCCUUGCCAUCUGAAGUACAGGACUGACCCCAGGACGGGACCCAGCUCUGGGUGCCGUGGCUUUCCAGGUUCAGAAUGAGAGCUCAGGGAGAGCGUGUGAAGUCUUAAAGCCCUGACUGCUUCCGUCUUCCAGCACUGGAAACACUCGGUGAGCGGGAAGAGGCACGGUGCCCGCGUCCUCCUGUCAGCUCCGUAUUCUGCCGCACCCACCUGCCCCGGCCAAUACCGCCAGGACGGCGGCGAGCGCCACACCCCGGGUUAGACUCUGGGCUGAUUCAUCAGCUCCCGGACCCCGGGUCCCCUUUGCGACGGGAAUGGCGAUGGUUAUGAUCCCACGAGUUCACUGUCGGGACUGAGGCAGGCUGGGAAUCCUGUCCCCACGUCCCGGAGCAGCGCAGUCAAUGCAGGCCGCUGCUGGUGUGGGGAGGACACAGGAAAGCUCGCUGUGCUGCAGGUGCGACAGGCGCGGGGUCAGUCGGCUCAGGGGCUGAAUCGAGACCUCCUUGGGUGCCCAGAGCUCCCGUUGGACAGGUGGGGAGGGAGCCCGCGAGUCACUCCUGCGGCACGCGCACGCCUCGGCAGAAGGGCACACAGAGCUGUCCCGUGCGCUGAGUCCGGACGCCGCCGGAGCCCGCGCGGAGGGGAGGAAGCGGACCGCGUCCGCCAGGACCAUCACCAUCCGGCCGUCCGGGAUCCUCACCGGCUGGUGGUUAAGAGACAGUGCGGUCGGUCAUGAGUCACCAGGCAAGAGGGUUUGACAGGGGGCAGCGUGGAUGACCACACCACAGCACGGCUGAACAGAACUCUGUGUGAGGCUGCACAGCCUCCCUGCACUGCGACUGAGGCUGCAGCCAUGACCAACACUCAGGGAGAGUUCCACAACCGCUCCGCGUGCAGCCUGCCAGUGUUCAGAAGCGAGGACGCCGUAUCCACACUCACAGAGCAAAAUACCUUGGAGAGCUGAUAUAACAUAACUAAGAGUGCUUGGGGACAUUUUGUUUCAUGUACUUCAAUAAAAUGAUGAUAUUGCUCUGA